rnacentral:rRNA from 1 species
UACGUAGGGUGCGAGCGUUGUCCGGAAUUACUGGGCGUAAAGAGCUUGUAGGUGGUUUGUCGCGUUGUUCGUGAAAUCUCACGGCUCAACUGUGAGCGUGCGAGCGAUACGGGCAGACUAGAGUACUGCAGGGGAGACUGGAAUUCCUGGUGUAGCGGUGGAAUGCGCAGAUAUCAGGAGGAACACCGGUGGCGAAGGCGGGUCUCUGGGCCGAUACUGACGCUGAGGAGCGAAAGCAUGGGUAGCGAACAGG